rnacentral:lncRNA from 1 species
UGUCCUUGCCACCAAACUUGGUGCUCGUCUCACGGAGGUUAGGAAGAAUAGUACCUGCUCUUGGCUAAGGCCCGAUGGGAAGACCCAGGUCACUGUUGAGUACUACAAUGACAAUGGUGCCAUGGUCCCAGUCCGUGUCCACACGGUCCUCAUUUCAACCCAGCAUGAUGAGACUGUCACAAAUGAUGAAAUUGCUGCUGACCUUAAGGAGCACGUCAUUAAGCCUGUCAUCCCCGAGAAGUACCUUGAUGAGAAGACCAUCUUCCACCUUAAUCCAUCAGGUCGUUUUGUCAUUGGUGGGCCUCAUGGUGAUGCUGGUCUCACUGGACGUAAGAUCAUCAUCGACACUUAUGGUGGCUGGGGAGCCCAUGGUGGCGGUGCUUUCUCUGGAAAAGACCCUACUAAGGUGGAUAGGAG